CGGACGGGUGAGUAACACGUGGAUAACCUACCUAUAAGACUGGGAUAACUUCGGGAAACCGGAGCUAAUACCGGAUAAUAUAUUGAACCGCAUGGUUCAAUAGUGAAAGACGGUUUCGCUGUCACUUAUAGAUGGAUCCGCGCCGCAUUAGCUAGUUGGUAAGGUAACGGCUUACCAAGGCAACGAUGCGUAGCCGACCUGAGAGGGUGAUCGGCCACACUGGAACUGAGACACGGUCCAG
rnacentral:rRNA from 1 species